GGGACUUCACCCUCCUGCCUUGUUGCUCACUGGCGGUUUCAGUCCCCUUUAUGGCUGCAGCGGGACUGUGGUCUUUGGUUCGCAGCGACUGUACCCGGCCAUUUCUGCUAGUUGUCCUGCUUCUAAUUCUGCAAACGACAGUUGGAGAGGGUGAAUGUGGGCCAACUCAACAGCUGUGUGUUGGGAAUCAAGAAAGCAUCCGGGAUAAAGAUACUGUCUGGCUACAGCUGCUGCCAAGAUGACUCUUAGGAGGAAAGUGCAUAAGAAGAGAUGAUUACUGUUUGAAAAGUGUUUUGCAAUCCUCUGAUGAAAGACUUCCGGAAUUUCCUGCUAAGGCCUGCUGUUGGGCAGAAGCACUUCAAAGACUUCUCAGUGCCUGGCAUGUGGAAGGCAUGCAAGAAAAUAUUUAUCGACUGCCUUACUGACUCAAUGAAUGCAUGCUUGACUGAAAGAUACAAGAACGCAAGAGCUAAAAGUGUUGCAAGAAUGAGACCUAAUCCUGAGCGAUACUCCGCUUGUGGCACACACGGCCUCAGAAGUGACUCAGGACCCCCAGCCUGGAUGCCUGAGUCAGUUUUAGCUAAUGGAGUUGAAUCAAUUUAGGCAAAUGCAAAUUUGUCAAUAGAAGAAUUUGGACCAAAUUGUAUUUGGGAGAACAUUUUGCUACUAUGUCAUGGGAAGAUUUUUUAGCUCUAUCUUUUAUCAAUUUGGUCUGUUUUUCUAAAAAUUCUUUUCUUUGUAUUUUUUAGAUUUUCAUUAACUUUGGCUUUUUAAAUAUCCAACAAUCAAAAGUGUAUGAAAGUAAAUCUGAUUUCCUUGAUUUCUGUGUAUAACAAACAUCUGAUUUGUGUCAGGCAGUGUGCCGGGCGCUGGAAAUACUAUGAACACGUCCUUGCCCUCUGACUAUUUCGGGGAGAAAUAGACAUAAAACGAACCAAGAAAAAGCCAAUUUUGAUAGGCACUGUGAAGAAAAAACACCAGGAGCUGAGAUGAGAAUGCCCACUUUUUGUAGGGGAGUGAGGAGGGCUUUUUUGAAGAAUAACAUGUUGAAAUGAUCGGAAGAAGCUACUUUAUGAAGGGUAGGGAAAAGUGUAUUUCAAGGUGUAGGUGCCACAUGCAGCGUCACUGAAGUAGGAAAGAGCUUCUCUGUUUCAAGAACUUAAGGAAAAACAGUGUGACUGGGGCACAGUGAGUGGAGAACAUGGCACAGUGACAAGCUGGCCCCUGGGGCCUCGUGGGCCACGUUGGUGAGUUUGGAUUUCAAGUGCGGAGGCUUCUCAAAGGAGAGUGAUGCCAUGUUAUUUAUGCCUAAGGAAGGUUGCUCUGGCUUCUGUGUAGACUGAUGCCGGGCAAG